GACGAACGCUGGCGGCGUGCCUAAUACAUGCAAGUAGAACGCUGAAGAGAGGAGCUUACUCUUCUUGGAUGAGUUGCGAACGGGUGAGUAACGCGUAGGUAACCUGCCUUUUAGCGGGGGAUAACUAUUGGAAACGAUAGCUAAUACCGCAUAACAAUGGUUGACACAUGUCAUUUAUUUGAAAGGGGCAAUUGCUCCACUCCAAGAUGGACCUGCGUUGUAUUAGCUAGUAGGUGAGGUAAUGGCUCACCUAGGCGACGAUACAUAGCCGACCUGAGAGGGUGAUCGGCCACACUGGGACUGAGACACGGCCCAGACUCCUACGGGAGGCAGCAGUAGGGAAUCUUCGGCAAUGGGGGCAACCCUGACCGAGCAACGCCGCGUGAGUGAAGAAGGUUUUCGGAUCGUAAAGCUCUGUUGUAAGUCAAGAACGGGUGUGAGAGUGGAAAGUUCACACUGUGACGGUAGCUUACCAGAAAGGGACGGCUAACUACGUG
rnacentral:rRNA from 1 species